GGAAGGUAUAGCUCAGUGGUAGAGUGUGUGCUUAGCAUGCACAAGGUCCUGGGUUCAAUCCCCAGUGCCUCCA
rnacentral:tRNA from 1 species